CCUGAGAAACCCAAAAGAUCGAAUGGGGAGAUUCAUCGUCAGCCGCUUUGGCUUCCGUGUGAACGCGAUGAUCGGGGCCUCGGCUCUGCGUCACGCGUUUGCUGCGGCACGUCCGGAGCGGUCGGCGUGCACUUCUCCCCUAGUAGGACGUCGCGAUUCGUUGGGUGUCGGUUUACGGACCGGUAGGUCGCCUGGCGUAUCUCGUUCACGCGAGCAUGUGUCAGACCUCUGGAUUCCCAACCGGCUGCCCGGCGGUAUAAAACGAUAAUUAAACGGUAUUGAGCCGCAUUGAAUGCGUUCAGGCUCGUAGGCAGGCUUGUCUCGCUCGGAUUUACGGACCUAGUGCCGUUGCCGGGUGCUUGGCGAACUGUGGCUUACGAUGUCCUCGGACUGGCUCUCGAAUAUUCUUACGAAUAUACCGAUCGGCGACGCUACUGCUUUGGGUACUUUCAGGACCCGUCUUGAAACACGGACCAAGGAGUCUAACAUGUGCGCGAGUCAUUGGGUCAAUUAAAGCCUAAAGGCGCAAUGAAAGUAAAGGUCGUCCUUUGCGUCGACCGAGGGAGGAUGGCUCGCGUCACGAUGCGAGCCCGCACUCCCGGGGCAUCUCGUGUUCAUUGCGAACAGAGGUGCACCCAG
rnacentral:rRNA from 1 species